GAAAUUCAUUCGUGUAUCGCCAUUGACAAAAUUGUGUAUGCUUAGACAAUGAAUAAGUUGAAGCGUUUUAUACGUUUUUGAUUUAUAAGUUGCUACAUAUCUAUUUAGGGUCGUUUGGUGAACACGUGCAUUUUUCAUCUGGUAGGACGUUGCGAUCCGUUAGAAUUUUUUUUUUCUAUCGAUCUAUGAUGUUUUACGGUCUAGUUCAUUGAUAGAUUUAUAAUUUUUUUUUAUACGUCAUUAUUAAUGAAACCGUACAUUCUGAUCGAUUUAUCUGACGGUAAAUUAAUGGUUAAAAGUCGCUAUAUAAUGCGUUAGAGGUUGGACAAGUAUAUGAAAUGUGUAAUGGCAUUAUUAUUAUUUAUUUUAGGUAGUAAUAGUGUUCUCGGUAAUCGAUAUUUAUAUCAAUUCCGGGCCGUUCCUGUACUAUUAGUCCAGCAUAUCUCUAACAGACUUACUUGUUUUCAAAACAAAACCAAUCUGCAACGCUAUAGCUUUGGGUACUUUCAGGACCCGUCUUGAAACACGGACCAAGGAGUCUAGCAUAUACGCAAGCCAUUGGGAUAUUAAACCUAUAGGCGCAAUGAAAGUAAAAAUCAUUUCAUUUCGUAUGAAAUGAAGGGAAGAUAAAUAAUUUAAAAUUCCCAGAAUUUUGUAAUUAUUUCGCAUUCCCGGGGCGUUUAAAUUUUAUUUAUUUGUUUAUUCAAUUAAAUGAGAUUAUGCGCACCAAGAGUGUACACG
rnacentral:rRNA from 1 species